rnacentral:rRNA from 1 species
GUAGGGUCCAAGCGUUGUCCGGAUUUACUGGGCGUAAAGAGCGCGUAGGCGGUCUGUUAAGUGUAGAGUGAAAUCUCCAGGGCUCAACCCGGAAACUGCUCUGCAUACUGGCAGACUGGAGUGAUGCAGAGGUUUGUGGAAUUCCUGGUGUAACGGUGAAAUGUGUUGAUAUCAGGAGGAACACCCAUGGCGAAGGCAGCAAACUGGGCAUUAACUGACGCUGAGGCGCGAAAGCGUGGGUAGCAAACAGGAUUAGAUACCCUGGUAGUCCACGCCCUAAACGAUGGAUACUAGGCGUAAGAGGUAUCGACCCCUCUUGUGCCGCAGCUAACGCAUUAAGUAUCCCGCCUGGGGAGUACGGCCGCAAGGUUG